UUGAACGCUGGCGGCAUGCCUUACACAUGCAAGUCGAACGGUAACGGGCCUUCGGGUGCCGACGAGUGGCGACCGGGUGAGUAAUACAUCGGAACGUGCCCGAUCGUGGGGGAUAACGAGGCGAAAGCUUUGCUAAUACCGCAUACGAUCUACGGAUGAAAGCAGGGGACCGCAAGGCCUUGCGCGGACGGAGCGGCCGAUGGCAGAUUAGGUAGUUGGUGGGAUAAAAGCUUACCAAGCCGACGAUCUGUAGCUGGUCUGAGAGGAUGAUCAGCCACACUGGGACUGAGACACGGCCCAGACUCCUACGGGAGGCAGCAGUGGGGAAUUUUGGACAAUGGGCGCAAGCCUGAUCCAGCCAUGCCGCGUGCAGGAUGAAGGCCUUCGGGUUGUAAACUGCUUUUGUACGGAACGAAAAGCCUUCUUUUAAUACAGGAGGGUCAUGACGGUACCGUAAGAAUAAGCACCGGCUAACUACGUG
rnacentral:rRNA from 1 species